rnacentral:rRNA from 1 species
UACGUAGGGGGCAAGCGUUGUCCGGAUUUAUUGGGCGUAAAGAGCGUGUAGGCGGUUCGGUAGGUCCGUUGUGAAAACUCGAGGCUCAACCUCGAGACGCCGAUGGAAACCAUCGAACUAGAGUCCGGAAGAGGAGAGUGGAAUUCCUGGUGUAGCAGUGAAAUGCGUAGAUAUCAGGAGGAACACCGGUGGCGAAGGCGACUACCUGGCCUGUUCUUGACGCUGAGGCGCGAAAGCUAGGGGAGCAAACGGG